UGGAGAAUUCGUUAAGAAAUCACCUUACUGUCAAAUUCAUCUGGAGAGAAACUUCGAAGAGCCUCAGUUUUGUCACCUGAAGGAGGUUUUGUCAUGAGGAACAUGAGAUGCUAUUACGUGACAGUGCCAAGCAAGUCGAAGAUGCCUCAGGAUGAAUGGGAAGGGGAAAUUUGGACACGGACACAUGCAUAGAGUGAUGAUGAUGUAAAGAGACAUUGGGAGAAGAUGGUCAUCUACAAGCCAAGGAGAGAGGCCUGGAACAGAUCCCUUCCUGCACAGCCUCCAGCAGGAACCAACCACGGUGACAUCUUGAUCUUGGACUUCUAGACCUCAGAAC